rnacentral:rRNA from 1 species
GUGCCAGCCGCCGCGGUAACACGUAGGGGGCGAGCGUUGUUCGGAAUCAUUGGGCGUAAAGGGCGCGCAGGCGGCCGUGUAAGUCUGGUGUAAAAUGGUUGUGCUCAACACAAUCAUGCGCUGGAAACUGCGGGGCUUGAGUCAACGAGGGGAUGCCGGAAUUCCAGGUGUACGGGUGAAAUCUGUAGAUAUCUGGGAAGAACACCAGUGGCGAAGGCAGGCAUCUGGCGACUGACUGACGCUGAGGCGCGAAGGUGCGGGGAGCAAACAGGUUUAGAUACCCUGCGUAGUCCCGCACAGUAAACGAUGUCCAGCAGGUGGCGGGCAGCAGUGCUCGGUACCGAAGCAAACGCAUUAAGUGCACCGCCUGGGAGUAUGCCCGCAAGGUGAAACUCAAAGGAAUUGACGGGGCCCGCACAAGCGGUGGAGCAUGUGGUUUAAUUCGACGAUACGCGAGAAACCUUACCAGGGCUUUGACAUACACCGGGAUGCGGCGGAAACGUCGCAGCUGCUUGCAGCCGGUGUACAGGUGGUGCAUGGCUGUCGUCAGCUCGUGCUGUGAAGUGUUGGGUUAAGUCCCGCAACGAGCGCAACCCCUGCCUUCUGUUACCAUCAUUCAGUUGGGGACUCAGAAGGAACUGCCGGUGACAAAACCCGGAGGAAGGUGGGGACGACGUCAAGUCAUCAUGGCCCUUACGUCCUGGGCCACACACGUGCUACAAUGGCCGGUACAGAGUGCUGCGAAUCCGGAAGGAGGAGCGAAUCACAAAAAGCCGGUCUCAGUACGGACUGGAGUCUGCAACGAGACUCCACGAAGUUGGAAUCGCUAGUAAUCCCGUAUCAGCAUGACGGGGUGAAUACGUUCCCGGGCCUUGUACACACCGCCCG